AAAAAUUUUAUUCCCAUGUCUAGUAACUUAAGUUAAUGUAAUUUUUAGUACUAAGCGUUUUAAUGACCAUUUGUAAAUAUGCCUAAUUAACCCAUAUUCUAUCUUUUAAAUAAUGUUUUAUAUACUCUUGUAAAUCACGCAAUUCAGCUGUCCAGCUGCAAGGUGAAUCUUAAAUACACUAUCUAUCUAUCUAUCUAUCUAUCUAUCUAUCUAUCUAUCUAUCUAUCUAUCUAUCUAUCUAUCUAUCUAUCUAUCCUUUUAAGUACUGCUUGUAAGUGAUUUUAGUGUUGCGUCACUUGAUAAUUCUUCUUUUAGUCUUUUCAAAGUGACAUUAUACAAGUUAGGUGGUUUAUAAGGUCCAUCGAUGAUAAUUCCAUGCGAAACAUUUCUUUUUCACUUGUUCCCAAUGCCGUGGGAUUGGCUAACGCUGCUCGAGACAAAGUAUUUGCUAUAUACAUCUGCUUCGAUUUGUGGUAUUAGACCGAGAAAUGGUAUUGUAGAACUUGAGCAUUAUGCGCUGGAGCCGUCUAGAUGCCUUAGCUAACGGUUAUAUGAAGAUUGUUUCCAGUGGCUGAUGAUCUGUGUGAACGAGGAUGUUUUUCUUCCCGUAGGGGUAUCCAUGCUGCUAUUUACUCAUACAAUUAACGAUGGCCAGACACUCCUUCUCAAUCUGCGCGUAGUUUCUUUCAUGCGACGUAAAACACACUGACUUCCCGUUCUGAAGUAAAACCCAACCAAU